rnacentral:rRNA from 1 species
UACGUAGGGCGCAAGCGUUGUCCGGAAUUAUUGGGCGUAAAGAGCUCGUAGGCGGCUUGUCGCGUCGGUUGUGAAAGCCCGGGGCUUAACCCCGGGUCUGCAGUCGAUACGGGCAGGCUAGAGUUCGGUAGGGGAGAUCGGAAUUCCUGGUGUAGCGGUGAAAUGCGCAGAUAUCAGGAGGAACACCGGUGGCGAAGGCGGAUCUCUGGGCCGAUGCUGACGCUGAGGAGCGAAAGCGUGGGGAGCGAACAGG